rnacentral:rRNA from 1 species
UACGUAGGGUGCAAGCGUUGUCCGGAAUUAUUGGGCGUAAAGAGCUCGUAGGCGGUCAGUCGCGUCUGCUGUGAAAACUCGGGGCUUAACCCCGGGCCUGCAGUGGGUACGGGCUGACUAGAGUGCGGUAGGGGAGACUGGAAUUCCUGGUGUAGCGGUGAAAUGCGCAGAUAUCAGGAGGAACACCGGUGGCGAAGGCGGGUCUCUGGGCCGUAACUGACGCUGAGGAGCGAAAGCGUGGGGAGCGAACAGG